rnacentral:rRNA from 1 species
UACGUAGGGUGCAAGCGUUGUCCGGAAUUAUGGUGCGUAAAGAGCGCGCAGGCGGUCGUUCAAGUCGCGUGUGAAAGCCCCCCGGCUCAACUGGGGAGGGUCACGCGAUACUGAUCGACUCGAAGGCAGGAGAGGGUAGUGGAAUUCCCGGUGUAGUGGUGAAAUGCGUAGAUAUCGGGAGGAACACCAGUGGCGAAGGCGACUACCUGGCCUGUUCUUGACGCUGAGGCGCGAAAGCUAGGGGAGCAAACGGGG